AAACUAACAAGGAUUCCCCUAGUAACUGCGAGUGAAGCGGGAAAAGCUCAAAUUUAAAAUCUGGCAGUCUUUGGCUGUCCGAGUUGUAAUCUAGAGAAGCGUUUUCCGCGCUGGACCGUGUACAAGUCUCUUGGAACAGAGCGUCAUAGAGGGUGAGAAUCCCGUCUUUGACACGGACUACCAGUGCUUUGUGAUGCGCUUUCAAAGAGUCGAGUUGUUUGGGAAUGCAGCUCAAAAUGGGUGGUAAAUUCCAUCUAAAGCUAAAUAUUGGCGAGAGACCGAUAGCGAACAAGUACCGUGAGGGAAAGAUGAAAAGCACUUUGGAAAGAGAGUUAAACAGUACGUGAAAUUGCUGAAAGGGAAACGCUUGAAGUCAGUCGCGUCGUCUAGAACUCAACCUGGCUUUUGCUUGGUGCACUUUCUAGUUGACGGGCCAACAUCAGUUUUGACUGCUGGAAAAAUUCCAUUGGAAUGUGGCACCUUCGGGUGUGUUAUAGCCUUUGGUUGUAUACAGUGGUUGGGACUGAGGACCGCAGCACGCCUUAUGGCCGGGGUUCGCCCACGUACGUGCUUAGGAUGUUGGCGUAAUGGCUUUAAGCGACC
rnacentral:rRNA from 1 species